ACGUGACGGGGCUCCGGCUGGGCCGGCGGGUUCUUCAUCCCCGGGGAUGAUCGAGUUCAUCAAAGUGGAAAACUUAAGGCGGUCUUCGUCGGGCUGAUACUUCCUGCUUUAUUGAAUGUUGAUAUUAAAUGCUUACCUCCGGAAUUAUUUUUUGAGGUAUCGACUUUAGAUUAAAAGCCUAACAAUUCUUACCUUUCCCGUGGGCUGCCUGGCUCCCCGCGCGGUUCAACGCGAGCAGCGCCAGUGCGCUGACCCUUGCCAACGACGUGGCUGGUCCUGGGGAUCACAGGGCUUCGCUCAUCCCAUCUUCCUCCAUAUCCCCAAGGUGGAAACAAGGGGGCGAGAUGUCCACAAACUGAGGAACAGACAAAAUGCUGGCUGUCCAUGCAGUGGAGUGUGAGUCAGUCAUCAAGAAGAGUGAAGUUCAGACCCAUGCCACAACAUGGGUGAACCUUGGAAACAUACUAAGUAAAGCAAGCCAAUCGCAAAAGGACAAAACCUGUGCGACUCCAUGCUAUGGACCGAGUUCUGUCCCCCUAACAUUUGUAUGUGAAGCCUUAAUCCCCAAUGUGACUGUGUUUGCAGAAAGGGCCUUUAGAGAAGUAAUUAAGGUUAAAUGAGAUUAUAAGGGUGGGGUCCUGAUCUGAUAGGAUUAGUGUCCUUGGAAGAGGUACCACAGGCCUGGCACUGUGGCUCACACCUGUAAUCCUAGCACUUUGGGAGUCCAAGGUGGGAGGACCACCUCCUCCAGGAGUUUGAGACCAGCCUGGGCAACAAAGCAAGACCCCUGUCUCUACAAAAAAAUUAACAGGGCACCGUGGUGCGUGCCUGUAGUCCCAGCAACUUGUUAUGGUUACGUAAGAGGAAUGUGAAUUCAACCCUGGUGAUUUUGGGUCGUGUCAGGAGCAGCCCUGCGACACCAGUUGGCACCUUCUGCAGACUCUAUGUGUCGAUAAGACAAGGUCCCACCCAGCAAGUGCCCUUUUCUCAGCUGAUGAACAUAAGCCUGCAUGGACGUUACUGUCCAUGGAAAGGAGCGGCCGGCACCGGCUGUGACAGACACGUGCCUGUCUGCGAUCUGAGUUUCAUGAACAGUAAACUCUGUUGGUCACAGCCUCUUUGGAAAACAAUGUUAGUUAAAAGAAGUGCCCUGUGACCAGCAGUGCCACCCUCGACAGGGUUCUCCAAGUGGGACCCGGGCAAGCAGCCUCAGUAUCACUAGGGGUUGUUAGCAAUGUGCCUUCCUGGGCUCUGCCCCAGAGUGGCCGCACCAGUGACUGGGAGUGAGGUCCCAGGGCCCUGUGGUCCAUGAAGAGCUCUCAGGGGAUUCUGAUGCCCAGUGGUACAGGUGGGCCACCGGACUGGGGUGUCAUCUGCCCGUGGGCAUGAGACAUGAACAAGGACAUAGCAGGUCUGUUAGUAGUCAUAACUAAAAGAACAAAGGAGCCGGGCACGGUGGCUCAUGCCUGUAAUCCCAGCACUUUGGGAGGUCGAGGCGGGCAGAUCGCGAGGUCAGGAGAUCGAGACCAUGCUGGCUAACACAGUGAAACCCCGUCUCUACUAAAAAUACAAAAAAUUAGCCGGGCGUGGUGGCGGGCGCCUGUAGUCCCAGCUACUCGGGAGGCUGAGGCAGGAGAAUGGCAUGAACCCGGGAGGCGGAGUUUGCAGUGAGCCCAGAUCAUGCCACUGCACUCCAGCCUGGGCAACAGAGCGAGACUCCGUCUCAAGAAAAAAAAAGAACAAAGGAAAAAACCAGAAAACCACCCAGAUGUUGAUGAGCAGAUGAUUGUACUGUUGUAAUAGUAAUCUGGUACAACAUUUGCAACAUCGCGGUUGUUAAAAAUGCUAACGCAUGAACCUCCAGUGUGUAUACACAGAUAUAAAUAAACGGGUGAAGACCAUCUGUGAGGUUGCAUGACAAAGGCAAGUGCAGAAGCAGACAGGGUGGGCACAUUUCUUUUCUUUCUUUCUUUCUUUUUUUUUUUUUUUGAGACAGAGUCUCACUCUGUCGCCCAGGCUGGAGUGCAGUAGCGCCAUCUCGGCUCCCUGCCACCUCCGCCCCCUGGGUUCAAGCGAUUCUCCUGCCUCAGCCUCCCGAGUAGCUGGGACUACAGGCGCCCGCCACCACGCCCGGCUAAUUUUUUUGUAUUUUUAGUGGAGACGGGGUUUCACCGUGUUAGCCAGGACGGUCUCGAUCUUCUGACCUCGUGAUCCUCCCGCCUCGGCCUCCCAAAGUGUUGGGAUUACAGGCGUGAGCCACUGCGCCCGGUCCACGUUUCUAUCAAAUUGAAAUCAUGAGCGGUUUUGCUGAGGGUGUGGGGCACCCAGAGCCUGCGGCCUGUGCUCGAGUGAAAAUGGUGGCCCCGCUCCAGAAGCCUGCGACGGCGCUCACGGAACCGCAGCCUUCGUGCGGCGGCACCUGGGCCGUGCUACUCCUCUGUGACUUCCCGGAAGAGAUGAGCUGCUACGUCCAGCAAAAGGCACAUCCAAGAUCGUUCACCCCAGCAUGACUCGUUACACUCCGGACUAGAAGGAACCCCAAGGUGCUUCAGUGACAGAACGAUGAACCAGCUGGGGUGUAACCCCCAUGCAAUGGAAUAUCGUACAGGAACGAAAAGGACACGCUACCCCUACAAGCAACAUGGAUCUCAGAGGCAGGAUGUUGCGCAGAAGAAACCAGACACAAAUGCUUCGGCUCGUGUUGCUGCGACUCAUUACAGGCAGCCGAAUCUGCGGUGAUGGGGGCCCCAGGAGCAGUGACCAGGAGGCAGUGCCACGGAGCCUGCGGUGGGGGCUGAUAGUCAGUAGCGUGACCUGGUUGGGAUGUUCUGUUUUUAAGCUGGAGUCCAUCAUGUUUGUUUAUUUGUUCAUUUCGUAGAGGUGGGGGUCUUGUAGAGGUGGGGGUCUCACUCUGUUGCCCAGGCUGGUCUCAAACUCUGGGCCUCAAGCGAUCCUCCCACCUUGGCCUUCCAAAGUGCUGGGAUUACAGGUGUGAGCCACUGCAUAAGGCCGUUAUUGUUAUUAGUGCUUAAAAAUAUUUAGUAAACAUUUUAUUUAGCCUAAAAACCAUUCAGAGAGCAGAGGCUGGAUGGAACACGGCGUGCCAGGCGGUGAGAGCACAGACCCUCCUCUUCCAGAGCAGGAAGUGGGUAAAUGACUUUUAAGCCUCAUUUCUGGGGUGGCAAAACUCUUCUGUAUGAAGAAGUACAAAUAUGUAAUGUCCCAUAAUGGCAGCUAUGGGACGUUACGUAUUUGCCAAAACCCACAUAACGCACAACGCCAAGAGUGAACUGUAAUGUAAACUGUGGACUUAAGUCAAUGAUCGUGUCCCGAUACGGGCUGGUUGGUUGUGAUGCAGGGCAGGUGAGGCCCAAAGUGGAGCUUAGCCUGCCAGCGUUCUUGGCUUUGCCCAAGAAAGAAUUCAAGGACAAGCCGGAGGUAGAAGAGAACAACUUGAUUGAAGAGGCAGUGUGGCAGCCCCAGGGCCUGGCACCGUAGGACCUCUGCAGGCUGGUGGGGGUGAAUGAAUGAUUGAUUGAUGAAUGAAUGAAUGAAUGAAUGUCAGUUCAGCUGCCAUUUCACCGCCUGGAAUUUGGGACUCGGACUGGCUUCCUGGCUCCUCAGCUUGCAGACGGCCUAUUGUGGGACUUCACCUGGUGAUCAUAGAAACAGUGGACCCACUGAGACCAAGGGCAAGGGGAGGAAAGGCCCGGGGUAGGGCUGAAGACACAGGUUCCAGGCCCAGCUCUGCUGCUCACCGAUGAGGCUUCUCCUCUGUUGAGCAGGUAGCCCCAGUUGGGAGCUGAGGUGUGUUGAUUGGGGCUCUGGGAACCAUAGCCUGCCAGCUGUGGCUUGGCCAUCCCCUCUGCCAGCGCUUUCCCGCCCAUCAGCCCUUUUCUCUGGAGUCCCUCCUUCAGCCAGGUCCUGAAAAGUCAUACCUUUUGGCCAAGCUGCUGAAAAUACUACUCAGCCAGAACUCAUGUGCUCAUGCCAGCCUCAUUCAUGACACCCUCCAAACCAGAAACAGCCCAGGAGCCGAUCAACAGCUUCAUGGGAAAAUGUAUUGCAGUCUAUCUCAUCGCCGGGCCCUUCCGUGGCCGUGGAGACGGGCGAAUCAUGGUCUAUCCCGUCGCCGGGCCCUUCCGCGGCAGUGGAGACAGGCGAAUUGCAGUUAUGCGCAGCAAGGAAGCCUCUCUCAAUCACAUUGAGCAGAAGUGGCCAGGCUCAAUUCUGUGGAAUUCUGUGUGGAUCACAAACAGGCAACAUAGAGGAUGGUGUUUUGGGGUGCAUGUUGAGGGAGAGACGGGGUUCUCUUCAUCACAAUGGUGGCUGGCCUCCAGGAAGGGAGGGACAGUGGCUGGGAGGCCAGGGGCCUCUGGGAUGCUGAAAAAUUCUUUUUCUUCUCCUUCUUCUUCUUUUUUUUUUUGAGAUGGAGACUCACUGUGUGGCCGAACCUGGAGUGCAGUGGUGGGACCUCGGCUCACGGCAACCUCUGCCUCCCAGUUGAAGUGAUUCUCAUGCCUCAGCCUCCUGAGUAGCUGGAAUUACAUGCGCCUGCCACCAUGCCAGGUUAAUUUUUCGUAUUUUUAGUAGAGAUCGGGUUUCACCAGGUUGGCCAGGCUGAUCUCGAACUUCUGACCUCAGGUGAUCUGCCCACUUUGGCCUCCCAAAGUGCUGGGAUUACAAGGCAUGAGCCACAGCACCCAGCCCAGAAUGGUUAAUUUUAUGUUAUGUGAAUUUCACUCAAUAAAAAAAAGACAGGAAGGGGAAAGAAAGAAAGAAAAGGCAGGGAGCCGGGCAUGGUGGCUCAUGCCUGUAAUCCCAGCACUUUCGGAGGCCGAGGUGGGUGGAUCACGAGGUCAGGAGAUUGAGACCAUCCGGGCUAACAUGGUGAAAACCCGUGUCUACUAAAAAUACAAAAAAUUAGCCAGGCGUGGUGGUGGGCGCCUGUAG
rnacentral:lncRNA from 1 species